rnacentral:rRNA from 1 species
UAUCAAUAAGCGGAGGAAAAGAAACUAACAAGGAUUCCCCUAGUAACGGCGAGUGAACCGGGAAGAGCUCAAAUUUGAAAUCUGGCGUGCUCAGUGCGUCCGAGUUGUAAUCUAUAGAGUCGUUUUCCGUGCCGGACUGUGUCCAAGUCCCUUGGAACAGGGUAUCAAAGAGGGUGAUAAUCCCGUACUUGACACAAUGACCGGUGCUCUGUGAUACGUCUUCUACGAGUCGAGUUGUUUGGGAAUGCAGCUCAAAAUGGGUGGUGAGUUCCAUCUAAAGCUAAAUAUUGGCGAGAGACCGAUAGCGAACAAGUACCGUGAGGGAAAGAUGAAAAGCACUUUGGAAAGAGAGUUAAACAGUACGUGAAAUUGUUAAAAGGGAAACGAUUGAAGUCAGUCGUGACUGAGAGGCUCAGCCGGUUCUGCCGGUGUAUUCCCCUCAGUCGGGUCAACAUCAGUUUUGUUCGGUGGAUAAGGGCAGUUGGAAGGUGGCACCCUCGGGUGUGUUAUAGCCAGCUGUCGCAUACAUCGGAUGAGACUGAGGAAUGCAGCUCGCCUUUAUGGCCGGGGUUCGCCCACGUUCGAGCUUAGGAUGUUGACAUAAUGGCUUUAAACGACCCGUCUUGAAACAACGGACC